AUUUGGUGUAUUACGGUAGCACAAACGGUUUGCAAGCUACCGCUCUUGGAAAAGAAAAGCCAACUCCACUUAGAUGCGCUUCGCACUAGCGCAACUCCUCGACCAUUUGGGCAAGAGAGACAUUUCAAACAGUGACUAAAAAACAAGAAAACGAGCUUUACGGAACUUUAUGGUGCAUCAUUAGGAAGCACGAGCUGUGACGGUCCAAUCACAUAUUUUAUUCUGUACCUCUCUGAUGUCUCUGUUCAGUGUGAAGCUGCAGCCUGUUACCUGAGCUCUACACCUAGCCUGCAGCCUCGUUAUCACUGCACCAGUUUUGCAGGGAAGCGUAGAAAGGAAAGAGGAGGAGAGAGAGUGGACUCAAACUCAGGCUUCUGCACUUCAGACGUAAGGCAUAGGGACACCUGCUUAACCGAACCAGCCAAACCAAAGCCCUAAGUAAGGCCUUUCUGUCAGUACUGGGAGCACUGAGGCACCAUGAGAUACUUUACAGCACUCGCCAAUUUAUAUUUAUUCAUCAAGCAGCAGCAGCCCCCUUGAUAGCAGUCACCUUCAAUCACCACAGUCAGCUGCUUUGUGUACACAUGUGGAAGUUUCUGUUAUGGCUUGACUACUCUUCUAACAUCUGUUUUAGUUGUCAUUUGGAAAUGUGUGCUUAAGAAAGUGUGUCCCGUCCAAAGACAGUAAAAAAAAUGGAGAAAGCUUCAGGGUCUGAAAAGUGAAGCCAGCUCGAAGGUGCGUUAAACCUGAAUUACUUUUUCAUGUCCACCAGGGGGCGACACCUGUGGCUGCAGAAAGACCUCUUGUCCCAUAUAAUUCAAUGGCAAGACAGUCCUCAGAGCUGAUCCCUGUAAACACUUUGCUGAUAAGUUUAUGGGCUCUGUCAGCGAUUUCAGCCCAUACUGAAUAAAACAUUAAAUACAUUUUGUUUUAGAAAGGAGGAUAAUCCAGGAUACGCUCAUCUCAUCUUUGUGGUCCUGAUGUAAAUUCUUAACAAACCAGUCAAGAUGUAUUAGCA